GGAACCUGGGUCCAGAUGCUGGCUACAAGUCCCACUCUGCCACCACUCACGGAGAGAUCACGCCUCAUCUGGUUAGGGUUACUUCAUCCAUUGGGCAAGGAGCUCACCACCCUUAAAGCACUGACACCGACGUCCCCCCCGCGCCCCCCCCCCAGCCAUCUCUAGGAACCCGCAUCACAGUGCCUGGCCCUCCCGGGGAGCAGAGGGGCUGAAGCACAGCACAGGGCAUCUGGAGACCGUGCGGGCUCCCGUCCCCAGCCCACUACCUGCUAACACCUGCACUGUGAACGAUCAGCAAUUCCGGCCUCCAAUCGCCUCCCACUUGCCAUCAUAAAAAUAUAGUUAUUAAUUUUUAUUUACUGGGAUUGUAUUUCUUUUCCUAGAGUGAGAAACAAAGCGCAGGAGGGAUGUGUCACACAGAGGCACCUCUGGAACGAG
rnacentral:lncRNA from 1 species